AAUAGCUCACUAGUCGAGAGACUCUGUGCCGAUAAUUCAACGGGACUAAAACACAAUACCGAAGCUACGGGCAUGAAAAUGCGUUAGGAGAGCGUUGUAAGGGCAUUGAAGCCAGACUGUGAAGACUAGUGGAGCGCUUACAAGUGAGAAUGCCGGUAUGAGUAACGAUUCAGAGUGAGAAUCUCUGACGCCUAUUGGGGAAGGUUUCCUGGGCAAGGUUCGUCCACCCAGGGUUAGUCGGGUCCUAAGACGAGG
rnacentral:rRNA from 1 species